rnacentral:rRNA from 1 species
AGUGAACGCUGGCGGUGUGCCUAACACAUGCAAGUCGAACGAACGCACAAUAAGCGCUUGCUCUUACCGGUGGCGGGUGGCGGACGGGUGAGGAAUACAUCAGAAACUACUUUUUCGUGGGGAAUAACGUAGAGACACUUACGCUAAUACCGCAUACGACCUACGGCUGAAUUCGGUGGAUCUUCGGACCUUUCGCGAUUCAAUUAGCCGAGGUCGGAUUAGCUAGUUGGCUGGGUAAAGGCCCACCAAGGCGACGAUCCGUAGCUGGUCUGAGAGGAUGAUCAGCCACACUGGAACUGAGACACGGUCCAGACUCCUACGGGAGGCAGCAGUGGGGAAUAUUGGACAAAGGGCGCAAGCCUGAUGCAGCCAUACCGCGUGGGUGAAGAAGGCCUUCGGGUUGUAAAGCCCUUUUAUUGGGGAAGAAAAGCAGCAGGUUAAUACCUCGCUGUUCUGACGGUACCCAAAGAAUAAGCACCGGCUAACUUCGUG